rnacentral:rRNA from 2 species
CAGUCGACGAACUCUGGUAUUGAUUGGUGCUUGCAUCAUGAUUUACAUUUGAGUGAGUGGCGAACUGGUGAGUAACACGUGGGAAACCUGCCCAGAAGCGGGGGAUAACACCUGGAAACAGAUGCUAAUACCGCAUAACAACUUGGACCGCAUGGUCCGAGCUUGAAAGAUGGCUUCGGCUAUCACUUUUGGAUGGUCCCGCGGCGUAUUAGCUAGAUGGUGGGGUAACGGCUCACCAUGGCAAUGAUACGUAGCCGACCUGAGAGGGUAAUCGGCCACAUUGGGACUGAGACACGGCCCAAACUCCUACGGGAGGCAGCAGUAGGGAAUCUUCCACAAUGGACGAAAGUCUGAUGGAGCAACGCCGCGUGAGUGAAGAAGGGUUUCGGCUCGUAAAACUCUGUUGUUAAAGAAGAACAUAUCUGAGAGUAACUGUUCAGGUAUUGACGGUAUUUAACCAGAAAGCCACGGCUAACUACGUGCCAGCAGCCGCGGUAAUACGUAGGUGGCAAGCGUUGUCCGGAUUUAUUGGGCGUAAAGCGAGCGCAGGCGGUUUUUUAAGUCUGAUGUGAAAGCCUUCGGCUCAACCGAAGAAGUGCAUCGGAAACUGGGAAACUUGAGUGCAGAAGAGGACAGUGGAACUCCAUGUGUAGCGGUGAAAUGCGUAGAUAUAUGGAAGAACACCAGUGGCGAAGGCGGCUGUCUGGUCUGUAACUGACGCUGAGGCUCGAAAGUAUGGGUAGCAAACAGGAUUAGAUACCCUGGUAGUCCAUACCGUAAACGAUGAAUGCUAAGUGUUGGAGGGUUUCCGCCCUUCAGUGCUGCAGCUAACGCAUUAAGCAUUCCGCCUGGGGAGUACGGCCGCAAGGCUGAAACUCAAAGGAAUUGACGGGGGCCCGCACAAGCGGUGGAGCAUGUGGUUUAAUUCGAAGCUACGCGAAGAACCUUACCAGGUCUUGACAUACUAUGCAAAUCUAAGAGAUUAGACGUUCCCUUCGGGGACAUGGAUACAGGUGGUGCAUGGUUGUCGUCAGCUCGUGUCGUGAGAUGUUGGGUUAAGUCCCGCAACGAGCGCAACCCUUAUUAUCAGUUGCCAGCAUUAAGUUGGGCACUCUGGUGAGACUGCCGGUGACAAACCGGAGGAAGGUGGGGAUGACGUCAAAUCAUCAUGCCCCUUAUGACCUGGGCUACACACGUGCUACAAUGGAUGGUACAACGAGUUGCGAACUCGCGAGAGUAAGCUAAUCUCUUAAAGCCAUUCUCAGUUCGGAUUGUAGGCUGCAACUCGCCUACAUGAAGUCGGAAUCGCUAGUAAUCGCGGAUCAGCAUGCCGCGGUGAAUACGUUCCCGGGCCUUGUACACACCGCCCGUCACACCAUGAGAGUUUGUAACACCCAAAGUCGGUG